rnacentral:lncRNA from 1 species
AGAGAUCAGAUGUCUCCUUCCACCCUCUGAUGGCAUGCGCGUGUGCUCGAACACACAUGCACACACAUACAUAAUUUUAAAAAGUAAAAUUUAAACUUCACAGUGCAGAACAAACCCCAGGUGAGUCCUAGUCCUUCCAUUGUUUUCAGGGCAAUGGGAGAGGCAGACAAGAGUGGUAACUUAUGUUAAAUCAUUGGCGAGGGUGUUGAAGACCGCACUUCCAGAACUGAGAUAUGCACCCGGGGAGGCUUGUCCAGGCGGUGUCUACACUGAAGCUUGGAGGACGACCUAGCACCAACCUGUUUGGGAAAGCCUCUGCCAUUCAGAGGAGCAGCCAGAACCUGCAGAUAGCCAGAAAGCACAUUGAGAUGGCAGGCUGGUCCCUUGAGACUUUUGGAGAGAAAGAUGCCAUAAUUUCAAGUCACUCACAAAGUCAGUGAAUUUGAACCCCUCACAACUCUGAAAACAAGCAUGGAUCUCUACUUCCAGAGACUGUCCCAAUUUCUGCCCACUGUUGUCUGCUGCCCAGUGGCUGCUCUGGGAAAGCCCAUCCCACCUAGCCAGCACCGACUUCCUGGAGUGUGAUAGAAGAAAGUGACCCCAUCUGCCCUGAUUCUGAGUGAACUUCAGAAAGGACCAGCUGCUUCGUGGCCUGAGAAACUACAGUGACAAACUACAAUGAACUCCAGGGGCCAAAUAACGAGGAAUGUUCAUUGUCUAUCCGACAUAAUUUUGUACAGUUUUUAUGUUCUGCAAUGGGUUUUCCCGCUCACACUGACCCUUCCUAGCUGCUGCUGGUGUUCCGGGGUGGCACCGAGCAGAGGAAAAACAGGAAAGGCUUUGGAGCCGGAGGGCCCUGAGUGCAAGGUGCCUGCCUGCCACAUGACUCUGGGACUAGUCCCUCUCUCAGCCUAGCAAGACAACAUUGCCUCUCAGGUCACCACGAGGAUUCUGGGACAUCUCUGGAAAGACGAUAGCACACAGUGUUUGAGGACUGUUCUCACCUGCUCCAGCCACUCACCCUUGUUCCUUCCUAGUCUUAUGGGAAACCAGAGGAGGGACAUUUGCCCUUCUAAGGACAUUGGUGUGUAGAACUUACUAAAUAUGUAUGAAAUGCACUUGUAAUUUAUUCCUCCACUAUUUCCAUAAAAAUAUAUUAUCU